rnacentral:lncRNA from 1 species
GGCGACCGGAUUACAAUUCCAGCCAGCAUGAACACGGGACGGCGCGCAGUCCUGAAGGGCGAAGCAGGGCUGCGCCGGGCUUGCUGUACAUGCUGGGAGCUGUAGUCUUUUCACCGCUCCCGCCCGUUGUUUCAAGCGCUUCGGGACUACAAUCCCAGCAUGCCCCGGGCUCGGGGGCGGGGCGCAGUUCUUGUGGGAGGAGCGGGGCGGUGCGCGCCUGGCCGGGCAGGCUGGAAACGGUAGCUCUUAACUGUUCCCCGCCCGUUGAUGACGAGGCGGCUGGACUAGAAUCCCAGCAGGAGACAUGCGAGGAGGCGGGCAGCCCAAGAGGGUUGGGCAGGGCAGUGUGGACCUCGCCGCUUCCACAGCGAUGCUGGCUACUGAUCGCGGGCACCUCCUUGCCAUGGGAUAAAAAUGUUGCUAACCCCCCGACCCCCCCAGCCACCAGAAUUUUGAUUAAAAGAGACUAAAGUGAUGUGACAAUGAAAUGCAAUGUGUGAGCCUGUCUCAAAUUGGAUCCUAGACCAGAAAAAGGACAUUUGAGGGGAAACUGGCAAAGUUUGAAAGGGACCUGCAGAUUAGACGAUGAAGUGCCUCAAGGUCAGUUUCUUGAUUUCACUCAUUUUACUGUGGUUCUGUGAGCUGUUAGCCUUUGGGAAAUCUGGG